rnacentral:rRNA from 1 species
GACGUAGGGCGCGAGCGUUGUCCGGAUUUAUUGGGCGUAAAGAGCUCGUAGGCGGCUUGUUGCGUCGGCUGUGAAAACUCGGGGCUUAACCCCGAGCCUGCAGUGGAUACGGGCAGACUAGAGGUAGGUAGGGGAGAAUGGAAUUCCCGGUGUAGCGGUGAAAUGCGCAGAUAUCGGGAGGAACACCGGUGGCGAAGGCGGUUCUCUGGGCCUUACCUGACGCUGAGGAGCGAAAGCGUGGGGAGCAAACAGG